GACGAACGCUGGCGGCGUGCUUAACACAUGCAAGUCGAACGGAAAGGCCCUGCUUUUGUGGGGUGCUCGAGUGGCGAACGGGUGAGUAACACGUGAGUAACCUGCCCUUGACUUUGGGAUAACUUCAGGAAACUGGGGCUAAUACCGGAUAGGAGCUCCUGCUGCAUGGUGGGGGUUGGAAAGUUUCGGCGGUUGGGGAUGGACUCGCGGCUUAUCAGCUUGUUGGUGGGGUAGUGGCUUACCAAGGCUUUGACGGGUAGCCGGCCUGAGAGGGUGACCGGCCACAUUGGGACUGGGGUACGGCCCAGACUCCUACGGGAGGCAGCAGUGGGGAAUAUUGCACAAUGGGCGGAAGCCGGAUGCAGCAACGCCGCGUGCGGGAUGACGGCCGUCGGGUUGGAAACCGCUUUCGCCUGUGACGAAGCGUGAGUGACGGUAAUGGGUAAAGAAGCACCGGCUAACUACGUG
rnacentral:rRNA from 1 species